GCCAUAGCUCAGAGGUAGAACAUCAGCUUUAUAUGCAGAAGGUCCCAGGUUCAAUCUCCAGGCAUCAAUG